AGAGUUUGAUCAUGGCUCAGGACGAACGCUGGCGGCGUGCUUAACACAUGCAAGUCGAACGGUGCAGCAAUGCAUAGUGGCGGACGGGUGAGUAACGCGUGAGCAACCUACCUCUAUUUUGGGGAUAACAUUCAGAAAUGAGUGCUAAUACCGAAUAUUAUCAUCUUAGGGCAUCCUGAGUUGAUGAAAGGGAUUACUGAAUAGAGAUGGGCUCGCGUCCUAUUAGCUAGUUGGUAGGGUAACGGCCUACAAAGGCGACGAUAGGUAACCGACCUGAGAGGGUGAACGGUCACACUGGAACUGAGAUACGGUCCAGACUCCUACGGGAGGCAGCAGUGGGGAAUAUUGGGCAAUGGAGGCAACUCUGACCCAGCAACGCCGCGUGAAGGAUGAAGGCCUUAGGGUUGUAAACUUCUGUCGCAGAGGAAGAAGAAUGACGGUACUCUGUAAGAAAGUCACGGCAAACUACGUGCCAGCAGCCGCGGUAAUACGUAGGUGACAAGCGUUGUCCGGAAUGACUGGGCGUAAAGCGAGUGUAGGUGGCGGUGUAAGUUAUAUGUGAAAGCCCUGAGCUUAACUCAGGAACUGCAUAUAAGACUGCAUUGCUAGAGUGUGGGAGAGGUAAGUGGAAUUCCUAGUGUAGCGGUGGAAUGCGUAGAUAUUAGGAGGAACACCAGGGGCGAAGGCGGCUUACUGGAACACAACUGACACUGAGGCUCGAAAGCGUGGGGAGCAAACAGGAUUAGAUACCCCAGUAGUCC
rnacentral:rRNA from 1 species